ensembl:misc_RNA Y_RNA Y RNA
CGCUUGACACAUGGCAAGUGGUCACAAAGGAUAUUAGCUAUUAAUAUUGGUAUUACAUUUUGUUCUUUCUCUUCUCCCACUGCUUCAAUCGACUAGCCUAAA